AGAGAGAGAAGUAGGGAGAGAGAGAGAGAAGUAGGGAGAGAGAGAAGUAGGGAGAGAGAGAGAGAGAAGUAGGGAGAGACAGAGAGAGAAGUAGGGAGAGAGAGAAGUAGGGAGAGACAGAGAGAAGUAGGGAGAGAUAGAGAGAAAAGUAGGGAGAGAGAGAAGUAGGGAGAGACAGAGAGAGAAGUAGGGAGAGAGAGAGAGAGAAGUAGGGAGAGACAGAGAGAGAAGUAGGGAGAGACAGAGAGAGAAGUAGGGAGAGAGAGAGAGAGAAGUAGGGAGAGAGAGAGAGAAGUAGGGAGAGAGAGAGAGAGAAGUAGGGAGAGAGAGAGAAGUAGGGAGAGAGAGAGAGAAGUAGGGAGAGAGAGAGAGAGAAGUAGGGAGAGAGAGAGAGAAGUAGGGAGAGACAGAGAGAGAAGUAGGGAGAGAGAGAGAAGUAGGGAGAGA
rnacentral:lncRNA from 1 species